rnacentral:lncRNA from 1 species
GGAGCCGGAGCCCGAGUCCCAGGGCCGCCGAGCCAGUUUAGAGUGGUCUCCAGGCCCUAGUGGGAAGGGGCUCCGCGCUUCUGGGCGUCCACAGGAGCUGCAUGGCCCUGCCCGCUGACGCCCGGUCGGGACGCUCCACACCCUGUGUGGGGGCGGAGGGGACGCGGUGGGUGCGGCCUGGGCGCGGGUGGGCUAGAGCCUGGAGACCGCCGGGAGCCCGACUUCCUGGCGCUUUGCCCUUUGGGGAGCGGAGCCAAGGAACAGCGCCAACCUCUCUCCACAAGCCAGGGACCCUACGACCCACCGCCGCAGGCCAGAACCAGCAGCUGAUUUAGAUACCAUCAAGACACCUAAAACCUUAUCAUGAGCCAGAUGCUGUGGAAGAGAUUCUGGGAGAAUCCUGAGGACCCCCCAGUUGCAGCCAUGUCAAGACUGAUGCUGAGGAGGACCCCAACUGUCACGAGCAACACCCGUCGAACACAGCCACCUACUUGGGGAAAGAUCAAGAAGCUGUCACAGAUGGUGGAAGAAAACCUGAGGAAAGCGGGACAACCAGUCACAAUGAGUAAUUUAAUGAUAGCUAUGAGAGCGGUGAUCACCAUUGCUUCUGCAGAUGCAGAUCCUGACUCCUGCGAGAAGUAGCUCACCGUGAUAAAGCUGCCUUUGCUUUUAUUGCCCUGCAAAAACAAGAAGGGGGAUAUGCUGGGGAAUAGGCCCCCAAAUCUGGACAUAAACUGGCCCCAAAACUGGCCAUAAACAAAAUCUCUGCAGCGCUGUGACAUGUUCAUGGUGGCCAUAACGCCCAUGCUGGAAGGCUGUGGUUUACCGGAAUGAGAGCGAGGAACACCUGGCCUAUCCAGGGCGGAAAACCACUUAUAGGUAUUCCUAAACCACAAACAACCUAUGCCUUAAGGACAUGUUCCUGCUGCAGAUAACUAGCCAGAGCCCAUCCCUUUGUUUCGGCCCAUCCUUUUGUUUCCUGUAAGGAGUGCUUUUAGUUAAUCUAUAAUCUAUAGAAACAAUACUUAUCACUGGCUUGCUGUCAAUAAAUAUGUGGGUAAAUCUCU